CCCGCCCCUCCCGCCGGGCGGGGCCGGUGCUGCAGUGAAGCAUCUUCAGCAUCAUUUGGAACCAGAACCAGACUGCAGAACUCAGAGACAUCCCGACACCGAGCCGCCGGAACCAUAACUGCAGGAUGUUCAGCAGCGUGUCGGGUCGGAUCCAACACGAGCGGGACCGGGCCGGGGGACUGGGCUCGACUCAGCAGGCGGUCCGGUACCAGAACCAGGACUUCUGGGCCCUGAGGGAGGAGUGCCUGCAGAACGGAACCGUCUUCCUGGACCCGCUCUUUCCGGCAGAACCUGGCUCGCUGGGCUUCAAGGAGCUGGGCCCGCUCAGCGCCAAGACCCGGGGCGUGCAGUGGCGCCGGCCUACGGAGCUGUCGGCGGAGCCGCGGUUCAUUGUGGGCGGAGCCACUAGGACCGACAUCUGCCAGGGGGCGCUGGGCGACUGCUGGCUGCUGGCUGCUAUCGGAUCUCUGACUCUCAACCAGCAGCUACUUCAUCGGGUGGUUCCUCCUGGCCAGGACUUCAGCCACCUGUACGCCGGCAUCUUCCACUUCCAGUUCUGGCAGUUUGGCGAGUGGGUGGACGUGGUAAUUGACGACCGGCUGCCAGUUAAAGAUGGAGAACUGCUGUUUGUCCAUUCAGCUGAGGGAAGCGAGUUCUGGAGCGCCCUGCUGGAGAAGGCCUACGCCAAGCUGAAUGGCUCGUACGAGGCCUUGUCCGGCGGCAGCACCACUGAAGGUUUUGAGGACUUUACUGGAGGCGUGGCGGAGAUGUAUGAGCUGAAAAAAGCUCCCAGAGAUCUCUACCGGAUCAUGGGCAAAGCUCUGGAGAGAGGAUCUCUGCUGGGAUGCUCCAUAGAUAUCACCAGUGCCUUUGACAUGGAGGCCAUUACCUUCAAGAAGCUGGUGAAAGGCCACGCCUACUCAGUGACUGGUGUCAGACAGCUGGAGUACCGCGGGCGGCAGGAGCGUCUGAUCCGGAUCAGGAACCCCUGGGGUCAGGUGGAGUGGACCGGAGCCUGGAGCGACAGCUCCUCAGAGUGGAACGCCAUCGAUUCUGCAGAAAAGGAUGAGAUGCUGUGUAAGAUGGAGGAUGGAGAGUUCUGGAUGUCCUUCCAGGAGUUUCUGCAUCAGUUUUCACGUCUGGAGAUUUGCAACCUGACUCCAGAUGCACUGAGUCAGGAUGCCACCAGCUUCUGGACCACUGUGACAUACGAGGGCAGCUGGAGGAAAGGAAGCACAGCUGGAGGCUGCAGGAACCACCCCAACACCUUCUGGAUCAACCCUCAGUACAAGAUCACUCUUCUAGAGGAGGACGAUGACCCUGAGGAUGACGAGGCCGCCUGCAGCUUCCUGGUGGCUCUGAUGCAGAAGGACCGCCGCCAGUUCCGCCGCCAUGGCCAGGACAUGCACACCAUCGGCUUCGCCAUCUAUGAGAUUCCCAAGGAGUUCCGAGGUUCUGCAGGUGUCCACAUGAAGAAGGACUUCUUCCUGCGCCGCUCCUCCUGCGCUCGCUCUGAAAGCUUCAUCAACCUGCGGGAGGUGAGCUCCAGGUUCCGCCUCCCACCCGGAGAGUACCUGAUCGUCCCGUCUACAUUUGAACCCUCGAAGGAGGCAGACUUUGUCCUCAGGGUUUUCACUGAGAAACAGUCCGAGACCGAGGACAUGGACGAUGUCUUGGUGGCAAACCUGGAUGAGGAGGAGGAAAUCUCUGAGCAUGACAUUGACGACUCCUUUAGGUCUUUGUUUGCUCAGCUGUCUGGAGACGACAUGGAGAUCUCAGUGCGGGAGCUCAGAACCGUCCUCAACAGGGUCGUCUCCAAACACAGAGACCUGCAGACGGAUGGAUUCAGCAUGGAGUCCUGCCGGGCCAUGGUCAGCCUUAUGGACAAAGACGGCAGCGCUCGGCUCGGUCUGCUGGAGUUUCAGAUCCUUUGGAACAAGAUUAGGAAGUGGCUGGGGAUCUUCAGAGACUUUGAUCUGGAUAAGUCCGGCUGCAUGAACUCUUAUGAGAUGCGUCUGGCGCUGGAAAACGGCGGGUUCAAACUGAACAACAAGCUGUAUCAGAUGUUGAUCGCUCGAUACGCCGACAAUGAGAUCAUCGACUUCGACAACUUCACCUGCUGCCUGGUGAAACUGGAGACCAUGUUCAGAAUCUUCCAGGGUCUGGACAGAGACGGGACUGGAACUGUGGAGAUGAACCUCAUGGAGGUACCAAACCUUGUUCUGUCCUUUUACUUUACAACUUAGUUCUGGCCCUCUGGACUUGGUCCAGUUAGCCGAUGUCAUGUCCUGUUUUCUGACUGAUGAUUCCAAACCACUCUGGUCAUUCCCAUCUUGGAUGAAGGAACUGAAUAGGCGUUUCCACCUGAUUGGAUGAUAUUAACUUGACUUUUUCCUUCUGUUAUUAUUAACCUAAAUAUUGCUAGCAAAAAUAUCGCUAGCAUAAAUAUUGCUAGCAUAAAUAUUGCUAGCAUAAAUAUCGCUAGCAUAAAUAUUGCUAGCUUAAAUAUCGCUAGCAUAAAUAUUGCUAGCAUAAAUAUCACUAGCAUAAAUAUCACUAGCAUAAAUAUUGCUAGCAUAAAUAUUGCUAGCUUACUUCUCCAGCAUCAGACUUUCAUUUAUUCAUCUAGUUUCACCAGCUCACUGUUAACUUAUUAAGCAGUGAGAUACACAAAAUCCUUUUUGUUACUGGAAUAAUGUGAAACUUACAUAAGUAAUUGAAAAAAAUAAAAAUAUAAUUAAAAAUAAUGUUACUUAGCAUUACAGUCUUGAAGAUGGUACGAACUUAUUUUCUUCUUAAAUGUUUUAAAGCGGUCACCGCCGAUGAGUGAACGAACUGAAGCGAAUCACUUCACUGGAUGAUUCAGUCUCAGCUGGGAGGAGGUCGGCGUCCUGCUAGGCAGGUCUUCCAGGUUCUGGUCAUGGUGGAAAAGGAUCGGGUUCUGAAUAAUGCAGUACGCAGAUUGUGCUGGAGAAGGCGCUGUUCUGUCGAAAUGAACUGUGUGAUCUGAUGAACGGAUCAUUCUAAUGAACUGAUUCUAGAUAUCCAUGGCUCUUUGUGACCAUGUGUGGCUGAAACCCAGAGCGCCCCCAAGAGGACGGAUGAGAGCAAAACACCCAGACUGAGAAGAUGCUGCUGCUCCACUGAGCUACAAAAUGUCCACAAUACUACAGUUACUACCAUAAUCAUCAUCAUAAUAAUAUAAUAAUAACUACAGGAUAGGACAGCAAGGCUACAGUGUUGAGCCUCAGUCUGAUUUUAAGUGUAUUUUUAUUAUAUUAAUUUGUAUUUACCUGUUAAUUAUCAUAACCUUCACUAACAUGCAUGAAUCCACCAAGCUCAGUUUAACCUGAGAGGACUCACCUGGUCAGGUGAGACGGCUCGUCUGGUUCUGGUGUUCAGUUGCAGUCAGAAGUCAUUCACUAUGAACAGCUGCUUUCAUUUCAGAGGUUAUUUAACAAACGUCAUAAAUGGUUCAUCUAAGAAAGUUUCAUCCUCAAAUUGAGAACACAGAUUCAUUCAUUCAUUCAUUUCUACUGACCUGCAGCUGGGCUCCACCGGGUCGUCUAAUCCAGAACCGACCAACAGUCCUGCUGCUCCUGAGCUCUACCUCCGUCCUGCUGUACCAGUUUGACCUGAUAGAGGGCGCUGUAGCUCCUCGGUAUUUAUGCCUGAACCCACAGCUUUAAUAAAGUGAAGCAAAUCAGCU